UUAUGUCUAUGCAAGACAACUAUGCUUUGUGGUUCUGUUCAUUGCACAGGCCUCCUCCCACACAACUCAGACAAGCAAUUGAUUGUUCUAUUCCAGCAAGUAUGAUGAUGGGUGGGAGAUCAGUUGCUAAUAGUAGAAAGAUUGCUUGGAUUUCUCUCAAGUGUAACAGACAAAAUGGGUCAUAUGAGUGCGGUUACUAUGUAAUGUAU